CCUACGUGUGGCAGCAGUGGGGAAUAUUGCACAAUGGGGGAAACCCUGAUGCAGCGACGCCGCGUGAGUGAAGACGUAUUUCGGUAUGUAAAGCUCUGUCAGCACGGGAGAAAAUGACGGUACCUGACCAAGAAUCCCCGGAUAACUACGUGCCAGCAGCGGCGGUAAUACGGAGGGGGCAAGCGUUAUCCGGAUUUACUGGGUGUAAGGGGAGCGUAGUCGGAAGUGCAAGUCUGGGGGGAAAGGCGGGGGAUAAACCCCCGGACUGCUCGGGAAACUGCCAGGCUGGAGAGCAGGUGAGGUAAGUGGAAUGCAUAGUGUAGCGGUGAAAUGCGUAGAUAUUAUGAGGAACACCAGUUGCGAAGGCGGCUUACUGGACUGCGACUGACGUUGAGGCACGAAAGCGUGGGGAGCAAACAGGAUUAGAUACCCCUGUAGUC
rnacentral:rRNA from 1 species